rnacentral:rRNA from 1 species
UCCUGGCUCAGGAUGAACGCUAGCGGCAGGCCUAAUACAUGCAAGUCGAACGCUCAGUAGCAAUACUGGGAGUGGCGCACGGGUGCGUAACGCGUACACAAUCUACCUCUAAGCGGGGGACACCUCCUGGAAACGGGGAUUAAUACCGCAUAAUAUGCCGAGGUCGCAUGACUUUGGUAUUAAAGCAGCAAUGCACUUAGAGAUGAGUGUGCGUCCCAUUAGGUAGUUGGUGAGGUAACGGCUCACCAAGCCUAUGAUGGGUAGCCGGUCUGAGAGGAUGGUCGGCCACACGGGCACUGAGACACGGGCCCGACUCCUACGGGAGGCAGCAGUAAGGAAUAUUGGUCAAUGGUGGAAACACUGAACCAGCCAUGCCGCGUGGAGGAAUAAGGUCCUACGGAUUGUAAACUCCUUUUGACGAGGAAGAAAGUGUUAGAUUUAUCUAAUUUUGACGGUACUCGUAGAAUAAGCACCGGCUAACUCCGUG